AUUGACUUUGGGCACACUAUGAACUGAGAUGAUGGGAUUAUAUUCUACAUCUCACUAACUUCUAACCCACAGGGAUCCAUUUUUUUAAAUAUGUCCUUUUAACUUUUGUAGUGAUCGUUUUACACUGAGUGAUCAAUUAGCCUAUCCACUAGGUAGAAAGUAUUGCUGAUUUUCACAGUUUUAGACAUAUUAUGCACAUGGUUUGAGGCUUGAGCUGUUUUCAAGGACAACAUUGUUAAGUGCUCCAUUUCUUCUCUUUGCAGGACAACUGUCCAUUCCAUUACAACCCAGCUCAGUAUGACUAUGACAGAGAUGAUGUGGGAGACCGCUGUGACAACUGUCCCUACAACCACAACCCAGAUCAGGCAGACACAGACAACAAUGGGGAAGGAGACGCCUGUGCUGCAGACAUUGAUGGAGACGGUAUCCUCAAUGAACGGGACAACUGCCAGUACGUCUACAAUGUGGACCAGAGAGACACUGAUAUGGAUGGGGUUGGAGAUCAGUGUGACAACUGCCCCUUGGAACACAAUCCGG
rnacentral:sRNA from 1 species